UUAAUUGAAGCCAAAAGGAGGCAUAUCACUGUUAAUGAUAAAACUGAAUAGUAUUAUUCCAAUUAAG
rnacentral:tRNA from 1 species